UGCAUCUAGACGCAGCCUGAUUCCCACCAGGAGCUCAGGACUAGACCCUGCGUCCCAGCAUCUACUCGACUCCAUCUUAAGAGUUUCGGCGUGUUGCUGGCUCCAGAACCCAACUUUUUGAUGUACUUAGAAUUUUUUGGCUUUGUGCUUGCAAAGGAGUUCAGCCACUUUCUCUUUCUGAUCUUGUUAGUGUGCUUGUCUCGUUUGCAUUUGUGGGUUCUAAUAGCGCCAUCAAAAUGAAUUGGGCAGGAGAGGAACCCUGGGAUAUUCUGCCGCGCCGCAGCCGCAGCCGCAGCCGCAGCUGCACAGGAAAAGAAGUGGUGGGUAGCAAAGUCGAGCGAGACCUUGGCUGGAAACAAAGCAGGACAGGAUGGAGGGAGACUAAAACAAGAUCUCACUAUAUAGGCCAGGCUAACUUCAAACUCCUGUUCCUCCUGCCUGCCUUUGCGUCCGAGUGCUGGAAUUACAGGAAACAAGUCUGCAGAAAAUACUGCCUGGUUUUGUCAUCGCCUGGCUUAAAAUGUCCCCCCAGCACUGAAUCCAAAUUACUUGGCCAGACUCUCAGGAUCCUAAGGAAUCGGCCAUCCAUAAAUCAGCACCCGGUGUGAAACUUAGAGCUAGCAAGAAUACCAGAGGCAAGGACACUUCACGGGAAGGAUGCCACCAGUGAGCUUAGAAGUGAGAAUAAGGCAAGCGAGGUGAACUGCAUGCUAAUCUGUAAAGCACAGCUGCAGACAAAGCAAGCAGGAGGGCUUUCAAAGGUGUUCUCAAUCUGUGGGUCGAGACCCCUUAGUCAGAUCUUAUAAGAGUCGUCUAAGAGCUUCGGAAAACAGAUAUUUACAUUACAAUUCUUAACGGUAGCAACAUUACAGUUACGAAGUAGCAACAAAAAUAAUGUUUUGGUUCUUGGUCACCACAACAUGAGGAAUGUAUUGAAGGGUCUCAGCAUUUGGAAGGCUGAGAACCACUAGUAGAGAAAGGACAGUUAGACCAGUUCCAGGAGCCAGACAAGAGGGGAGGGGAAGAGAGGAUAGUGACUUUUAGGCAACAGAAACUGCUAAGUGGGGUGCAAACAGAGUAGCACAAAGGCUCCUCGGGCUAGAAGCACAGCAGGAUCCCGAAUAGGAGGGGCCAUCCUAGAGGCCAUUUUCUUAUAGCUGAGAAGUGGGAAAAGAGGGGAUGUGCCUGCUGGUCCCUCCUGCCUAACAGGAGUUAAAUUCAUCGGGAGUAAACUGGAAAUUAGAAAGAUUUAACAAAACUAACUGAUGGUCUUUUGUAGAAGGAUACCGUUGUGGGGGCUGAGGAUGUAGCUCUAGUGUGAGGUUUGGUCUGCUGCUAUGUAUUGUAAUGCUGAACACUGGCCCCCACCAAGCUCAGUUGCCUCAAGGAUCAGAGAAUCUUCCUGCUGACUCAGGUGACACUGUGUGACCUGCCCCCCAAGUUAUCCCUGAUUGGUACCCUGGCUGUAUCAGAGCAGAGUAAGCAGAAGAUGGAGAACUCGGCUCCUCCAGCACCACGCCUGCCUAGAUGCUGCCUGGAUGCUGCCUGGAUGCUGCCCUGCUCCCGCCUUGAUGAUAAUGGACUGACCCUCUGAACCUGGCAGGUGUGAAACCCAGUCUGUGAACAACCCUUGAGGUCCUCAUCUUGGCUUUGCUGGCAUCCAGCUCUUGCAGCUGCUCAUCCAGUUCCAUGAACAUCUCACGCUCCAGAUCCUCCCGACCUAACUAAGCGCUCUGCCCCCUCUCCAGAUGAGUCAUCUUCAAAGACUGUGAUCCAUAUUGGCUGUUCCUGAAAAACUCUUUGGCUGAGUGCUUUCCACAUAGCUCAGGUUGGUCUCAAAGUCAUGGCUAUCCUCCUGCCUCAGAUCCUCCAGUGACUGGAUUACAGGCAUGUGCCACAUGGCACAACUUGGCCUGUUGUUUUGUUUUGUUUUGUUUUUGGUACUGGGGAUUGAACCCAGACCUUUUUUGCACAUGCUAGCCAAGCAAUCUAUUCUUUUCUUUUUUAUGGAUGUGUGUGGUUACCUACGUAAGGAUGUGUGUGCAGGAGCGACAGAGGUCAGAAGAGAGCACCACAUCCCCUGGAACUGGAGUUACAGGCAGAUGCAAGCUGCCAUCUUGGUGCUGGAAAUAAAUAUGCAACUUCUAUAAGAGCAGUACGUACUCUUAAUGGCUGAGCUCUCUUGAGUCCCCUGCUUGGAUUUUUUAAAAACUAAUUUUAUUAGAGAAUACAUUACUUCCUUUCAGACCUAUGAGGAUAUGCCUUUUGCAAAGCAUUUCCUUUAUCCCUCUCCAGAAGAGAAAAGGAAACAGAAGUGGGGGCUGAUACAGAACUCCAACUCCUAUUAAUGGAUGCAAAGUACCCAGGAUGUCAUAAAAUGAGCCCAGUCUUCGGCCAUAAACAAAAGGCAGUCUUGUGUGUUGGCUGCUGCAUUGCCCUGUCAGCCUACAGAAGGAAAAGGAAGGCUGGCCGUUCCGCAGGACACAGCACUAAAAGCACCCUGGUUCAAGAUGAGUGGGAAGCCAUCCCAGUAAACACAUCAUGAAUUUAAAACAAAACAGCAUUACUUCAAAUGAGAUAAUUUUUAAAUAUAUAUUUUGAUGAAUUUGAGAGGUUUGUGGAGGUGGUGAUUUGGUUUUAAUUUUGAUAUGGAGCCUGAGUGUCAGAACAUCAACCUAAAAACAAGGGCAAGGUCCUUUACACUGAACCUAAAAACAAGGGCAGGUUCCUUUCUAUAGGCCGCAAUACACUCCAACUAAAGGAUCAUGAAAGAUCAAAUGACUUCUGUGUGUGUGUGUGUGUGUGUGUGUGUGUGUGUGUGUGUGUGUGUGUGUGUGUAGGUGUGGUGUUAGGAAUAGAACUCUGGACUCACGCAUGUUAGACAAGUGUUCUACAUGAUCACCCUCCUCUCCGCCUUCCUCACUACCAGUACUGCAGCUUUGUGUUGAAAGAAAUGGGUUUUACCAGCCUCCAACAGUUGGACAUGACCACUGACAUGUCAGUGAAAGUUGCUGGAUGGUCCUUCUUGGACAGGCUUUCUACCAUGUGUCGUGUACAUUAAUAUGGUGAAUUGAUGAGGUGGCAGGAAUGAAAACGCCCUCCACAGGUUCAUAUGUUUCAAUGCUUGCUCUGCCCUUUGGGAAAAAUUAGGAGGUAUGGCCUUGUUGGAAGAGGUGUGUCACUGGGGCAGACUGACUUUGUGGUCCAAAAGACUUGAGUGGUCCUUAGUGUGGUUUCUGCCUCUGGUUUCUGUUUAAAGAUGUGACUCGCCUGGUGUUCCUACUCUGACAUCACGAACUUCUGCAUCAGGAAACCCCUGAAAUCAGAAAUCCCAAAUAAAUGAUUUCUCCUUUUUUAAAA
rnacentral:lncRNA from 1 species